UCCAGACUCCUACGGGAGGCAGCAGUGGGGGAUAUUGCACAAUGGGGGAAACCCUGAUGCAGCGACGCCGCGUGAGUGAAGAAGUAUUUCGGUAUGUAAAGCUCUAUCGGCAGGGAAGAAAAAAAUGACAGUACCUGACUAAGAAGCCCCGGCUAACUACGUGCCAGCAGCCGCGGGAAUACGUAGGGGGCAAGCGUUAUCCGGAUUUACUGGGUGUAAAGGGAGCGUAGACGGCAUGGCAAGUCAGAUGUGAAAGCCCGGGGCUCAACCCCGGGACUGCAUUUGAAACUGUCAGGCUGGAGUGCAGGGGAGGUAAGUGGAAUUCCUAGUGUAGCGGUGAAAUGCGUAGAUAUUAGGAGGAACACCAGUGGCGAAGGCGGCUUACUGGACUGUAACUGACGUUGAGGCUCGAAAGCGUGGGGAGCAAACAGGAUUAGAUACCCCAGUAC
rnacentral:rRNA from 1 species